rnacentral:lncRNA from 1 species
CAACUUCUAACAACUUAAUGGGAGUAUUAAAAGGAUGGAAACAAAUAUUAGAACAUAAAGUUGUGUUCCUCUGAAUAUUAUGGAAUAUAGAAUAUUGUAACAAUUAUUAAAAUUAUUGCUUAUGAACCAUAAAAUAGUUACUUUUGAGUAUCUGAUGGUGUCUGAUGAGUUAUUUUUAUCUGAUUGGACAUAGGUCAUUUGAAUGUAUUUGAUGGGAGAAUUUGGAGUAUUUUAUGGGACACAGACCAUGGAUAUGGCUGAGCACUCCUCCACCCCCAACAAAUGGCAGCAUACCAUGCAAAAUGUUCCACAGCUUGCUCUCUUUUUCUUCACUUUAACAAAGACACCUAGAAGUGAAAUCGCUGGGGCAAGACUGUAUCUAGCAAAAUCACUCUAGACACUACUAUAUUAUCCCUACAAGCAUUAUAUCAAU